UACAGAGGUCUCAAGCGUUGUUCGGAUUCAUUGGGCGUAAAGGGUGCGUAGGCGGCAUGGCAAGUCAGGUGUGAAAUCCCGGAGCUCAACUCCGGAACUGCACUUGAUACUGCCGUGCUUGAGUACUGGAAGGGAGACUGGAAUUUACGGUGUAGCAGUGAAAUGCGUAGAUAUCGUAAGGAAGACCAGUGGCGAAGGCGAGUCUCUGGACAGUUACUGACGCUGAGGCACGAAGGCCAGGGGAGCAAACGGG
rnacentral:rRNA from 1 species